rnacentral:sRNA from 1 species
GGAAUAUGAACAGCUAAAAACCAGGAUUUUGUUACUAAGAAAUGAGGGUAAGAAUAGAUGGGGGCGGUGGGGGGAGAGUAGGCAAUAUCACAGUGGUUUUAUGUUCAUAUUAUUUGCUGGCUCUUGGGGCUACCAUGUAGAAAAUCAAAACACCUCUUUCUGUUUUUGUUAUGAGCUAUGGUUUCUUAAUUUAGAAAUCUGGCUUAAUUUAGAAAUCUUGUUUCUUCUGUGAAGUAUCAUUUCUUUAUUUGGCAAUCUUGACUGACUCUUGCUUUCUUCUUUCCUCUUGCCUUUCAGCUGUUUUGGAAAGAAGUGAGGUUUAGACUUCUCCAUGUUAACCAUGAGCGUGACACUUUCCCCCCUGAGGUCACAGGACCUGGAUCCCAUGGCUACUGAUGCUUCACCCAUGGCCAUCAACAUGACACCUACUGUGGAGCAGGGUGAGGGAGAAGAGGCAAUGAAGGACAUGGACUCUGACCAGCAGUAUGAAAAGCCACCCCCACUACACACAGGGGCUGACUGGAAGAUUGUCCUCCACUUACCUGAAAUUGAGACCUGGCUCCGGAUGACCUCAGAGAGGGUCCGAGACCUAACCUAUUCAGUCCAGCAGGAUUCGGACAGCAAGCAUGUGGAUGUACAUCUAGUUCAACUAAAGCUUCCAGAUAUUCUUCAGUAAGAAGUAUGAGAAACCAGCUGAACCAAAUUUAGAAUCUCUCCCCCUUCUUUGGAUUCAGAAGCUGUGCUGUACAGGAAAACCAGAUCAAGAACCUUAAAAGGUUUUGCUUUCAACUGAGACCUCUGGUUUGGGUGAAUGUAUUUGGGUGCUAAAAAGGCAAAGUAGGUAUCUCUGCUUCCUGAUUAACAGUCUUCUCAGGGAGAAUAUUAUUUGUUUUCCUGGAAACGUGAUAGCAGGAAAGAGGCAAGGUGUAGGCUAGCUAGCAUAGGCUAAAUGAUACGGCUGGAUAACAGACAGAAGUCUUGAAGUGACUUUCUGGAAUCAGCUCCCCCAAAAC